UCGUAACAAGGUUUCCGUAGGUGAACCUGCGGAAGGAUCAUUGUCGAACCCUCGCGGUAGAAUGACUUGCCAACCUGUACCAAUUAUUGAUUCGAGUGUCGGGGUGCUGUCUUUCUGAUUUGCCCAGACGAACAAAAACACCGGCGCAGCAGCGCCAAGGAAUAUAAUAAUGAGUGUGCAACCUUGCAGAGCUCAAUUAUGUUGCCUGUGAGCUUCGCAUCCUUUUAAUAAAAAUGACUCUCGGCAAUGGAUAUCUCGGCUCUUGCAUCGAUGAAGAACGUAGCGAAAUGCGAUACUUGGUGUGAAUUGCAGAAUCCCGUGAACCAUCGAAACUUUGAACGCAAGUUGCGCCUCAAGCCAUUGAGUUGAGGGCACGUCUGCUUGGGUGUCAUGCACUAUGUCUCCCCUCUCGUGUGUGGGGUGGGAAUAGAUCCUGGCCUCCUGGGCCCUUCCUUGGGCGUGGUUGGCCGAAAAUGUUGUCCUGGAUUUUGUUGAUGUCUUGGUGAGCGGUGGAUGUGCCAGGGGUGCAUAGUUGCCAGCCUUGCUCGACUUCUUGUGGCGUCGGGAUCCUAUGAAGCUGCCGUUUUUUGCUCUUUGAUUACGACCCCAAGUCAGGCGAGACUACCCGCUGAGUUUAAGCAUAUCAAUAAGCGGAGGAAA
rnacentral:rRNA from 1 species